CACAGUGACACCCAGAAGCACAGAAGGAUUCAACCAUACUCUAAAGUCAAGUAAAUGAGUUGCACAGUUUGCAGCAAAUUUUUUUCAGAAUCUGAAGUGGUAGGCAGCUAGGCUAUUGAUGUGAUGCCAGAAUCAUGAAAGAUGGAUGAUCCCAGCAGUAAAAAGCACUUUGACCCCUCCAGCCAUAUGUUUCCCCUCAAAAAGUAACCAAGAGCGCGAUGGGUUAACUAAUAAGAUGAAGAAUGAAGAUUGCGUGAGAGAAGAUGUUCUGAAUCAUGGCAUAAUCUUGUUACUUGUUGAAGACAAUGAAAGUAUCGGUUUACAAUGAAAAUGGCUGUCUGAGACAAAUUUAAUAGAGCUCAAUGUUUCGAGACCAGGAAAAGAUCAUAAACCAUAUUUGUGGUUGAAGGUAUAAUUGUAUAUUUUCUUUGACCUGAGCCUAGAUGUACUGAAUCAUCUGAACACAAUAAGUAGUGGAAAAUUGGGAAUGUCAUUAAAGAUGUCCGUAAAGGAACCCAUCUCCUUUUCUCCAAUUUUUGGCUCUGAAAUGCUAGGUUACCCAUACUUACCCAAACUCAAACGGUCCAGUGGAUUUCAAUUUCAACUGUAAGAAAAUGUUUGCACAUUGUUUGGCUUGAAGUCCUGUAGUGAUUUGCUUGCAGUUUUAAAUUGCCUAAAACAUGGUGUACUAUUUUGGAGUCUACACCAGUGGUAAUUAUUUUAUCACGGAUAAUAACUUUAAUUGUUAAAUGAUAAUGACAUUGCAUUCUCUCUUACUUUCAUGUACAUAUCAUGUGUUUCAUGUGGAGCCUAAAUGAGACUGCAUACUGACUAAUAAUAUGAACACAUCCACUUGAUAUUAAUAUGAAAUGAAAUAAAAUCAGACAGAAGCUGAAGUUUUCCUCCAUGUUCUUUGUCCUCAGAAUUAUGUUAAAUUAGAAACAGAAGAUUUGUUUGGUACUAGAGAGAAAAACAAUUUGUGAGGGGGAUGGAAAGUGCGGAGAGAAUGCACCAUUGUUCACUGCUCCUGAAGAUGGAGGAAAAACAUAAGUAAAUCUCGCCCUGCCUGGAUACAGGUUCACAGCUCUUUUAGACUCUUGUUCUGAUUGUUAU